UACGUAGGGCGCAAGCGUUAUCCGGAAUUAUUGGGCGUAAAGAGCUUGUAGGCGGUUUGUCGCGUCUGCUGUGAAAUCUCAAGGCUCAACUUUGAGCUUGCAGUGGGUACGGGCAGACUAGAGUGUGGUAGGGGAGACUGGAAUUCCUGGUGUAGCGGUGAAAUGCGCAGAUAUCAGGAGGAACACCGAUGGCGAAGGCAGGUCUCUGGGCAUUAACUGACGCUGGAGGAGCGAAAAGCAUGGGGAGCGAACAGG
rnacentral:rRNA from 1 species